GACGAACGCUGGCGGCGUGCUUAACACAUGCAAGUCGAACGGAAAGGCCCUGCUUUUGUGGGGUGCUCGAGUGGCGAACGGGUGAGUAACACGUGAGUAACCUGCCCUUGACUUUGGGAUAACUUCAGGAAACUGGGGCUAAUACCGGAUAGGAGCUCCUGCUGCAUGGUGGGGGUUGGAAAGUUUCGGCGGUUGGGGAUGGACUCGCGGCUUAUCAGCUUGUUGGUGGGGUAGUGGCUUACCAAGGCUUUGACGGGUAGCCGGCCUGAGAGGGUGACCGGCCACAUUGGGACUGAGAUACGGCCCAGAGCCCUACGGGAGGCAGCAGUGGGGAAUAGUGCACAAUGGGCGUAAGCCUGAUGCAGCAACGCCGCGUGCGGGAUGACGGCCUUCGGGUUGUAAACCGCUUUCGCCUGUGACGAAGCGUGAGUGACGGUAAUGGGUAAAGAAGCACCGGCUAACUACGUG
rnacentral:rRNA from 1 species